UAUUUUCAGGUUUUAGGAGGACUGAUAAGACGACACUAUUGCUUUCCAAGUUACAUGGAAGAAUUUUUCAGCCAAGGACAAACUGAAAGCUAAGGACCUAUUGCAGAAUUAUCUGAUUUUACUUGGCAUUUGUUUAACUGUUGUGUGAAUCGCUGAAGGCCAUUUACUCUGACAAGAAAUGUCAAAUACACCAGUAAUAAAUCAAAACAGGAGAUGGAAUACAGUUCUCUCUCAUUUUUUCCUACUUUGGCAAGACAUCCUUCCCUGUUUCUGGCAACCAGACUAUCUUUAAAGCAGCACAUGGUAACACUGCACGCUCUGAAUGCUGGCUUCAGUGAGAAACAAGAAGCUUUUGAACAACAAAAGCCUGGAUCAAAUCUUGAGGUUUCACUCUCAAAGCUGGAGACCAGACUGCCUGCAGCAAUGGAAUUCCCUGCAUCCUAACCUGAGCAGGGGCAGAGGUAAGGAGGAAGGGAAAAAUG
rnacentral:lncRNA from 1 species